GUAGAAAACACCCCUGCCCCUGCCCACUCCCACCGCUGAGGCGGCUGAGUUCAGGUUAGCAAUAAAAGUAAGGAAGUUGCUGUGAGACCAAGAUGGAAACCACACGCGCCAGUAAUAGCUAACAGCUCCUGAGCCUCAACUCUAUGCCAAGCACUUGCGUAGAAAGAAUCUGCAUUCCAAGAGGAAAACUGACUCCGGGCAUUUAAACCCUAUUGAAUUAGAAUCUCCCUUGACGGAGCCGGGAAACUUGCAUUUUACUUCCAUCUCCAACCCC